UCAAUCAUUAGCUCCUCCGUUCUCAGUA
rnacentral:sRNA from 1 species